rnacentral:rRNA from 1 species
GACGAACGCUGGCGGCGUGCUUAACACAUGCAAGUCGAACGGUAAGGCCCUUCGGGGUACACGAGUGGCGAACGGGUGAGUAACACGUGGGUGAUCUGCCCUGCACUUUGGGAUAAGCCUGGGAAACUGGGUCUAAUACCGAAUAGGACCAUGGACUUCACGGUUUGUGGUGGAAAGCUUUUGCGGUGUGGGAUGGGCCCGCGGCCUAUCAGCUUGUUGGUGGGGUAAUGGCCUACCAAGGCGACGACGGGUAGCCGGCCUGAGAGGGUGACCGGCCACACUGGGACUGAGAUACGGCCCAGACUCCUACGGGAGGCAGCAGUGGGGAAUAUUGCACAAUGGGCGCAAGCCUGAUGCAGCGACGCCGCGUGAGGGAUGACGGCCU